UACAAAAAAAAACGAGCACAUCAGCUCUAAAUAACGAGAAAUACAAUAUAAAUAUUUUUUUAAAACUAAAAAGAAAUAACUGCUUACAAGUUCGGUAAGUAUUUACUCAUGCCGACUUCAAUUAAAUUUUCAACAAUAUCAAUUUAUUUAUAAAUAAUUUACAAAUUAAUCUCAUCUGAAUUUUCCACCAAACCUUGUUGCUGAAGAAGACUCAAGUUUUCCCCACCUACCAGUUGCGCAAGCUUCC
rnacentral:lncRNA from 1 species